GCAGUCGACGGAAAGGCCCGCUUGCGGGUACUCGAGUGGCGAACGGGUGAGUAACACGUGGGUAACCUYGCCCCCAUCUCUGGGAUMACCGUUGGAAACGGCGGCUAAUACCGGAUACGACCACCUUCCGCAUGGUUGGUGGUGGAAAGUUUUUGCGGUUGGGGWGGGGCCCGCGGCCUAUCAGCUUGUUGGUGCGGUAGUGGCGCACCAAGGCUUUGACGGGUAGCCGGCCUGAGAGGGCGGUCGGUCACAUUGGGACUGAGAUACGGCCCAGACUCCUACGGGAGGCAGCAGUGGGGAAUUUUGCACAAUGGGCGCAAGCCUGAUGCAGCGACGCCGCGUGAGGGAUGACGGCUUUCGGGUUGUAAACCUCUUUUAUCCACCACGAAGGCCAGGUAUUCGCCUGGUUGACGGUAGUGGUUGAAUAAGCGCCGGCUAACUACGUGCCAGCAGCCGCGGUAAGACGUAGGGCGCGAGCGUUGUCCGGAUUUAUUGGGCGUAAAGGGCUCGUAGGCGGUUGAUUGCGUCCGCCGUGAAAGGCCUCGGCUUAACCGGGGUUUUGCGGUGGAUACGGGUCGACUUGAGGCAAUUAGGGGAGAUCGGAAUUCUACGUGUAGCGGUGAAAUGCGCAGAUAUGUGGAGGAACACCGGUGGCGAAGGCGGAUCUCUGGGAUUGUUCUGACGCUGAGGAGCGAAAGCGUGGGGAGCGAACAGGAUUAGAUACCCUGGUAGUCCAUGCUGUAAACGGUGGGCGCUAGGUGUGGGUCACGUUGGUUGAUUCUGUGCCGUAGCUAACGCAUUAAGCGCCCGCCUGGGGAGUACGGCCGCAAGGCUAAACUCAAAGGAAUUGACGGGGCCCGCACAGCGGCGGAGCAUGCGAUUAUUCGAUGCACGCGAGACUUACUAGGUUGACAUCACCGCAC
rnacentral:rRNA from 1 species